rnacentral:rRNA from 1 species
UACGAAGGGGGCUAGCGUUGCUCGGAAUCACUGGGCGUAAAGCGCACGUAGGCGGAUUGUUAAGUCAGGGGUGAAAGCCUGGAGCUCAACUCCAGAACUGCCCUUGAUACUGGCAAUCUCGAGUCCGGAAGAGGUAAGUGGAACUCCGAGUGUAGAGGUGAAAUUCGUAGAUAUUCGGAAGAACACCAGUGGCGAAGGCGGCUCACUGGCCCGGUACUGACGCUGAGGCACGAAAGCGUGGGGAGCAAACAGG